AACUUAUGGUGAGGGCACCUUCUCAAUAAAUCCUUAUACCUCUCCCAUGCAUCAUAUAAAGUCUCUAAAUCCAUUUGUAUAAAGGAAGAGACAACAUUCCUCAAUUU
rfam:Gossypium hirsutum cultivar TM-1 chromosome 6, whole genome shotgun sequence